UACGGAGACUGCGAGCGUUACUCGGAAUUACUGGGCGUAAAGGGUGCGCAGGCGGUUGUAUGUGUUGAGUUUUAAAGGUCGAGGCUUAACUUUGACAUGGGCUCAAAACUGUACGACUAGAGUACUGGAGAGGUAAGCGGAAUUCUUGGAGUAGCAGUGAAAUGCGUAGAUAUCAGGAAGAACACCGAAGGCGAAGGCAGCUUACUGGACAGAGACUGACGCUCAGGCACGAAAGCGUGGGGAGCGAAAG
rnacentral:rRNA from 1 species